UGCUAUAAUUGUCAGCUAAGUGGCGCACGGGUGAGUAAUGUAUAGAUAACCUGCCCUCAAGAAAGGAAUAACAGUUGGAAACGACUGCUAAUGCCCUAUAUGCCUUUAAUACAUAAGUAUGCAAGGGAAACGCUUUAGUGCUUAAGGAUGGGUCUGUAUGGUAUCAGCUUGUUGGUGAGGUAAUGGCUCACCAAGGCUAUGACGCCUAACUGGUUUGAGAGGAUGAUCAGUCACACUGGAACUGAGACACGGUCCAGACUCCUACGGGAGGCAGCAGUGGGGAAUAUUGCACAAUGGACGAAAGUCUGAUGCAGCAACGCCGCGUGGAGGAUGACACAUUUCGGUGCGUAAACUCCUUUUAUAUAGGAAGAUAAUGACGGUACUAUAUGAAUAAGCACCGGCUAACUCCGUGCCAGCAGCCGCGGUAAUACGGAGGGUGCAAGCGUUACUCGGAAUCACUGGGCGUAAAGAGCGUGUAGGCGGGUAUAUAAGUCAGAAGUGAAAUCCAAUAGCUCAACUAUUGAACUGCUUUGAAACUGUAUACCUAGAAUGUGGGAGAGGUAGAUGGAAUUUCUGGUGUAGGGGUAAAAUCCGUAGAGAUCAGAAGGAAUACCGAUUGCGAAGGCGAUCUACUGGAACAUUAUUGACGCUGAGACGCGAAAGCGUGGGGAGCAAACAGGAUUAGAUACCCUGGUAGUCCACGCCCUAAACGAUGUACACUAGUUGUUGUGAGGCUCGACCUUGCAGUAAUGCAGUUAACACAUUAAGUGUACCGCCUGGGGAGUACGGUCGCAAGAUUAA
rnacentral:rRNA from 1 species